AUAGAAUGAAAGGUAUAUUACAGUAAUAGAUAUGAUUUUGAUUGCUUUCAUGACGAAAAGUACCUUGAAAUUGCGCUCACAGUAGCGAAAAUGUUCUAUUCUUUAGCAAAGCUCAAGAAUAAACAAAUGACGUCACCGUCCAAUACCUGUCCACCUGCUAGUCUAAAUUCCAGUACAGAGUCGAAUGGAUUGACAUUAUUUAUACAAUUAUUACAAUAAUGCAGUGUUCUGCAUAACAGUAAAUCUUCUAUUUUUUUGUGAAUAAAAAUUCCAAAUGGUCCCAGUGAUGCCGGAUUUGUGAUGGAGGACCUGUAGUACAAUGUACCAUAUGGUCAAUAGGUGUUGGUGGCAUGAGACACCAGUCAAGACUGAGUGAGUGGCCACACAAGCUAGCUACUGACUCAGCAGUUUCCCCGAGACAAAGUGCUUUAUCAUCCACAAGAAGUCACUGAUGUUGCCGCCACCCGGUCAUUUUGGGUCAACUUCCCGCCGCUGUAUCUCGGUAAGUACUGAUCAGAUUUUUUUUUGUUUUAUUACCUUCACAAAAAUAUUAUCUUUAAUUCUGUAAGAAAAAAUCAUUUUUUUUUUUUUUUCAAAAUUUCUUGGACACUGGGGCACCACUUCAGAUUUUGGCCUUGGACCCUGAAAGGGUUAAUAUAGGUCCAGAGUGACUUGUGGAGAUAUGACAGUAGUAGGUAUUGAAGGGGGACAUUUUUGCAACCUAAAUGUCCUAAAAUUCCUACAUGUCUCUGUAACCUUGAUAAAGAAUAAUUAUCUUUGUUACCAUAUAAUGGCAUGUAUCUAAUGAGAUUCAUCCAGGUAAUUUAAAUUUUCCAUAUAGUUGCCCGUUGGUCCUUGAUCAAACUGGAUGUAAUUAGUGAAGUCAAAAAUUAGUGAAUUAAUUACUUAAUAAUUAUAUGUGAAAUGACAGAAGGAGGUGGAUGUUAAAUCCACAGAUU